rnacentral:rRNA from 1 species
UACGGAGGGUGCGAACGUUGUUCGGAAUCACUGGGCGUAAAGCGCGUGUAGGCGGUCUACUAAGUCUGAUGUGAAAGCCCGGGGCUCACCCUCGGAAGUGCAUUGGAAACUGGCAGACUGGAGUCCCGGAGAGGAGGGUGGAAUUCCUGGUGUAGCGGUGAAAUGCGUAGAUAUCAGGAGGAACACCAGGGGCGAAGGCGGCCCUCUGGACGGUGACUGACGCUGAGACGCGAAAGCGUGGGGAGCAAACAGG